rnacentral:misc_RNA from 1 species
UUUCCGUAGGUGAACCUGCGGAAGGAUCAUUAAAAAUGAAGCUGGGAAACCGGUCCUUCUCACCCUUGAUUAUCUCAAUUUGUUGCUUUGGUGGGCCGCGCAAGCACCGGCUUCGGCUGGAUCGUGCCCGCCAGAGGACCACAACUCUGUAUUAUAUGUCGUCUGAGUACUAUAAAAUAGUUAAAACUUUCAACAACGGAUCUCUUGGUUCUG